AGAAAAAAAAAUAUAUUUUGCAGUUUUGACGGGAAAUGUAGUUUUGUUUCUUUGGCGGGAGAAUACAUUUUUACGAUUCUAGCAUCUUUAUUCUUAUCCAAUAAAAAUCAACAAAAUAAUAACCCCAAACUACUUUACUUUAACCCCAAUUUUUAUGUAUAAGACAUGUGUUUUAAUUUAAAACUGAAAUCAGUAAUCCAUUAACAUAUGAUUUUGUUUAGAUUUGUAUGUAAAUUUAUAUGCACUAAUUAAAUUAAUAAACUAAAGGUGUGUAUUUCUCUCAUCAUUUCCAUGAACAUUCUUUUCUUAUGGUGCUGUUUUACAUUCAACCAAUAACACACGAUCCGACUUUCUUUUCUUGAAAUUACUAAAGUAAAUUUUUUUCAAAGAAAUUAAUAAAAUAAAUAACAUGACUAAGUGAAUGUUAUUUUUUCCAUCCAGAUAGUCCAUCUAAAUGGGCAUGGGAAUUGAUGUUAGUUUUGUGUUAUGUAAGAUACACACGUAACACAUAAUCCAAAUGAUUGUCCAAAUGAAUUUUAAAAUUUAGCCAAAAAUGAGAUCAUCCAAAUGGCUCAGUCAAAUUGGUACAUUUGAAGAUGAAUCUUUCAGGAAUAGCAAAAUACAACUAUAGCUUUAUGCAAGUAAAAUAUUUGGACCGAAUUUUAGUAAAAAAUAUAUAGAACAAAUAUGUCAAAACUACAAAACUGCAUUUUACUGUCAAAAUUGCAAUUACGUUUUCCACAAAAACUGGAAAACCUUUCAAAUAUUUUUAAUAAACAAAUAUAAAGGUUGCAGGCUUAACUAAGAUCCAGAAAUAAACUAUAAUAUUUUAAAUUUUUCUUAGAUUUUGAUCCGUACUUCAAAACGCAGUUUUUUUUGUUAUGAAACAAAAUUUUAUAUGAAAUAGUAAUUUGAAUUUUUAUACAUUAUUAUAUUUAUAUAGAUAGAUGAAAGGAGAUGUUUUUUAAAAAAAUUGAUCAUUUAUCAGUUAGCUUUUUUGAUAUUUUGUAUGUACAGUUUCAUGUUAUAACGUCAAAAUUGUAUUCUUUUUUAAUAAAUUUUGUUAAAAUUGUCGAUUUAGUGAUACAAAUGAUUGACUUGGCAACUUUUUUACUAUUAAUUUUUAAUGAUUUUGAAAAAUUGUUUAUAAUACACUAAGUUGGCUACCAAAUUUCAAAAAUACAAUUAAUCAAAAAUAAUAUAACAUUUGAAUUUAGGGUUUAGUGAUUAUUGUUUAGGGUUUAGUAUUUAGGGGGCGGGAUUGAAUUUAUAAAUUUCUAUAAAUAUUUUUAAAAUUAUUUUAACAUUUAUAAAUGAUUUAGUAGAGUUACUAUAAUUUUUGUCACAAAUUUAAAAUUUAAAGUAUUUAUGAAAUGGUGUAAGGGUUAAGUUGAAAAGGUAUCUAACUUGUGGUAAAAUUAAAAUUUCUCCUUGAUAUUUUUUUUAAAAUUUGUUUUCUUGAAAUAUUUAUAUGUAACUAUAUAAAGAUAGUUAUAAUGAUAUUUUAAAUUCCUCAUGGUUAAUUUCACAAUCAAUGAUGAUUUCAUUGAUUGAAAUAUUUCACCUAAAUUUCUAUUGUCAUUUAGAGUUUUAUUAAACCAAUAAAGCCGCUGAACAAUUUACUCAAAGUACAUUACAUCUAUAUCUAACCUAUAUUAAAAAGGUUAUAUGAGCAUCAGAGAGUGUGUCCACGUAGGACAAUUAAAUCAUCCAAUCAGAAAGGUUGCUUUGUCCAUGUCACACACGGGAAAAAAAUCUCCAAUUUCUUAUUUUUAAUUCUUAUCAUUUUGGAUGUCUUCAAUGUCACUGGUAAGUCUCUCUCUCUCUCUCUCUCUCUCUCUCUCUCUCUUAAGCGACAGUUUCACCGGAGAAAAUUGAAAAGGCCGAUUAAUUGAUUAAUUUUGUGUUCUUUUUCAUCUUGAGAGGACGAAGUCUUCGUCGAAUGCCGCUUCGAUUUGCGAAACUUCAUAUAUUUGACUCGAUCCAAGAAAAUCCCGAGCAGAGUCAUUGGAAGCAUCACUUCCUCUCGAUUCAUAAGCAGGUGUACAUGCAAAUCAUCAGCAAAUCCCUGAUACAGAGAUUUUAGGAGAGGCUGGUGUUACCGUCUACGCUCGAUGAUGUUGACGACAAGAAGACUCAUUUGUUGUUAAAAAAAAAAUUAGUUGUAACUCAGAUAAAAUGGAUAGUGGUUAGUGGAGAUGACACGUUAGAGCUACACGAGCGUCGAAAAUCUGAAGAAAAUUUCCACAGCCCAAGCUUCUGCCAAUUAUGAAGGUAACGUUGUAUCCUAUUCAGAUUUCAAACCACAGAAACACACUAUUUGAAAAGGUUUUAGUUAGACAUGUUACUAGAGUCUGUGAAUACAUAAAUUAAGCGUGUGGAAGCUUUUUUGGAGACGAUCAGCAACAACACCAUCUCAUAAAUACACCAAUUAGUAUAAGAAAAAACACUUUUCAGGGAAAAAGUUACUUGAUCAUAUCCUUUGGUGCUAUUUAUGUGAUGAUUUAAUAGUGUUGAACGUUAUUUGUGAUAAUUUAUAUGUGCUGAACGUUACUUGAUCAAAAGUUACUUAAUGCAUUUAUAUGUGAUGAUUUAAUAGUGCUGAACGUAAGGUGCGUUGAACCGGUUGUGCGGGUAUCGUGGGCUUGACGUUAUGGAGUUUCAGAGAAGAAUUGUCAUAUCGCCUCAUCGGUGAUACUAACUCACUUGAAGAACACAUGACAAAGUGUGGCUCUGAUUUGAGAAAAGAAUGGUCUGUAUAUGCUAAGAAUCAUCACAAAUCACUGAGAUCACCUAAGUUUCUAUUUCAAGCAGCAGGACUCCAAAAUUCUAAGCACAAACGGUAGUUUUUUUACAAAUUUUCACUCCAAAUAACGUUAUCUAAGUCCUAAUUACCUACCUAAAUUUGGUUUGUUGAAAGCCGUCGUUUCUUUGCUGCACUUUAAGCUAUAUAGAAUAUUCCUUCAUAUAAAGGCCUGUUGAUUGCAAGUCUUUAAGAAAAUGUGACAAAACAAUAACGGCCUAUUGAUUGUAAGUCUUUACGAAAAUAUGAAAAAACAAAGAGAAUGUCUUGUAUUAUUUUAAGGGGAAGUUUGCAUAUGAUCAAUCUGACAACUAAACAAAUACACUUACAACUUGUGAUAAAGAAAACGAAUAUAGUAAAAUGAAAUCUAACGAAAAACUUAAGAAGCUAGCAAAGGUUGGUUAUAAAAAAUACUGCACUAAUACAAGAAGUAACGAGUUCCUAUUCUGAUGGCAAGUAUUACAUUUCCAUCAUUGCAUAUGUCAAUCUGGAAAAUCAAGAAGACCAUGAAUAACCAAAAAGAAUUGUCACACUUUGAUAUACUACAACCUCUAAACAUCAAUUACAAAGAGAACCCCGCUUAUCACAUAAUGUGAGCAUUGAUCAUGAUUGUGGAUAUGAGUUUGGUUAUAAAUAUAAGUUAUUAAAUAUAUUAUUUAAAUUUGUAUAUUACACGUGCAUGCAAGCAUCUUCAUAGCACUAGAUACUAUAAUACUCCGUCCGUUUCGAUUUAAUUGUCGUUGUAGAGGAAAAUUUUUGUUUCAAAAAAAGUAUCGUUUUAGAGUUUUAAUGCAAAAUUUAUUAAUAAGAUUCUCUACUUUAUGUUUUUAUUGGUUGAAAAAUGGUUAGGUGUAUAGGUAAUUAUGUUUUUGUUUUGGAAAUAUACAAAAUCAUAUGUUUUUUUAAUCCGUAUGCAUAAACCUAGAACGGCAAUUAAAAUGAAACGGAGGGAGUAGUUAAUAUCUCUAUAAUGUGUUAGAGAUAUUUAAUAAAAUAGCAAAGAAGAGAAGUGAACCCUAGAUAAAUAUAUUAUUUAUAUAAAUAUAAUUAUAUAUUUUUAUUUACAUAAUAGUUUGUAAAAAAAUAUUUAGUGUAAGUAAUAUCAUAAUUUUAUAAAAUACUGAAAUAAACUAGGCUGGUUUUCAACUUUCAAAAAUAAAAAAUAUUAUUAGUAAACUUAGAAAAGAAUAUAUCAAGAAUAUUCCUUUUUAGGAGAGAAAAUAAAAAAUACAUCGGAGACAAAUCUAUCUAUAUUACGAAAUUCCUCUAUUUUAGAGAAUAAAUAGAGGAAUACAUUAGAGAUGGUCUAAGGCAUGGCCGACGUAAAUGAUUGACGUUGAGAUUUCAGCUUUUCUAAUUCUUACUAUUCUAAUGUUUCAAUAUAAUUUGAAUAUUCCCUUUGUUUUAUAAUAUAAUGGUUUAAAAGUAUUUUUUGUUUCACUAUAUAAUUUAUUUUUAUAUUUCAAUGUAACUUUAUAUUUGUUGGAUAUUGUGUGGCCAACUAAAUUAUGUAAAUUACUGUGUAAUUGAUUAAAUUUAUAUAUUAAACGACAUUUUUCUAAAGUAAUAAUUUUUAAAUAUUAUAGAUUUUAAUUAAAACUGAUUACAUUUUGAAACAUAUAUAUAGUAAUCUAUAGAUACGAGGACAAAAUUGUAAAGUGGUCUCAACUUGAAUUUCUCUUAUUCUGUGCAUUCCUAAAUGGAAGGAGAUAAUCAACAUCAAAUAUUAUGUUGGUCUCAGUAUAUUAGAAAUCGUCGAACAGUAAACCAAUUAAGAUGAUGUAAGAAAGACAUAAAAAUGUAUUUCAUGUUAUCACAAAUAUAGAAUCAAUUGACAACAACUUAGUUAUGUCCAGCGUAGUACAACAAAGAAGAGUUUCCAUAUCUUUUAAUAUUAUAAUAUCUCACUAUAUUAGUGGCUAAAUCAGUUUUCUCUGGCACAAAUUCUUACUUCAUUCUUGGAGUUUAAGUUCUUCUAUCUGAUGAUAUUAGUAGUUUGAUCCCAAAAAAAA